GAAUAAUGUUUGGAGUAGGAGGACACUCUGGGUAUCCAUUUUAGAAUUUUUGUUUAAUAUCUUACCUGAGAUCUGCCAGGGCUGCUCCCUGCCUCAUCUACAACACCAUUAACCAUUAACGAGCCGGAAGUUCUGUGCCUGAGCUUAGUGCAACAGCGCAGGGGUUAGCUCACUGGCUGAGAGUGAUCAGCUGAUGCUCUCAUCUAAU